AGGACUUGGGAUUCCACAGGGUGGUGAGGAGGGGCCUGCCCCAGGGAAGAGCAGAGGACAGUGGGAAAUCCGGGACAAAGGAAGUGAGGGCUACUGCUAUUUAUACUAGCGCACGCAAAAGAAGCACCCAACAGUUCGCGGUCAAAGGGACGCUCCUGUCACUUGUGGCUGUGUGACCUCAUUCAAGAUACACUACUUCUCUGAGCCUCACAAAACACUGGGCUGCUACGAGGAACACAGAGGAUGGGGGUGCCAGGGAUUUGUGAACUAAGAAAUCAAAGGAGACGCGGUUGAGGAAUGUACAGUCACAGCCCCAGCCCCAGCCAAAGGGUGUGUGAUGCGGGCUUGUCAGUCAACACAUCUGGGUGGUGCUUCUCCUCAGGAGACGGGGGUGUGGUGCCGACUGGUCCUUCAGCAGCUCUCGGCCCCUGCAUGAUCUUGUAAAUUAUUAUGAUCACUCACCACUCCCACUCACCACCCCCAGAGGCGUCCUUCCCAAAACAAUGCAUUAUCCUCAAGCUGUGGAUCCCACCCACACACUCCUGUGCACAGAUGUGGCUUCAAAUAAUCCAGCUGCUGCUCGUGGCCAAGAGAACGUCCCACCAACCAGAGUUCCCAGAUGAGUGUCAACCCAAGGUCACACCGCAUAUGCGCAUUGAGAGGCUGCACUUGAGCUCAGGUAUUGAUAUCUGGGCCGACUGUGUGGCCAAGAAGCCUGAGAAGCCUCUCUAGGCCACUGGAGGAAGGCUGUGCCCAAAGGAGGAGGUGCCUAUUGUGAGGAUGGGUGGUGGUGGGGAAGGGCAUUCUGGGAAGGGCUAACAGGCCCGGACUGGAGGAAUCAGCACUGGAGGAAUCAGUCUGUAAGGGACUGGGUGGGUGGCUGAGGAGGGCAGCAAGGAUCACGGAGCCUGUGAACUCUUCCAGGCUAGCAGCCAGCUUGCUCUGCCUGGCAUCAAACUGCCCUUUGGAGGCCCGGUUUGACCUUGCUUUCCUUGAGCUCAUCCAGGGACCCACUCAGUGUCUGGCUAAGCACAGAACUGCUUACUCAGCAGCCAGUGAGACCCAUGGCUCUGUUUGCUUUGUGAUUCGGUAAGGCUAUGCAGCAUGGACCAGUGGCCCCUAGCAGAGGAAGAGAGUCAGAAAACAGGCCGAGAGCCUGGGUGGCUGUCUGCCCAUAUCUUUAAGAUAUACUUUCCCCCACGGAGAAUCACGAUGCAGUGGCUUACCAAAAAACCCCACAAAAGUCUGCAGCAGAUACCUAAUUGGUUGUUUCUUCCAGUACCUCUAAUUUUGUUUAAUGAAGAGAUUCCCCUUUCUGGAUGCCAUGUCUGUUUUCCAAGAAAAGAAAGCCCAGUGAGCCAUAUCUGGGAAACACUAUGUGAUGCAAGCUCUCGCUCCUAUAAGAUGAGGUCCCUGGAAGAAAGUCUGGCCACAGGUACCCAGCAGAGAACAGCAGUCAUCUCACUGUGGGCCUCUCCUACAAGACCAUGAAUAGCAGGUGUUCAAAGGGCGACCCAGAUGAGCUCAAGGGUUCUCACUGGAGAGACCUAAGUCCUCAGAUCAGGGACUGAGACCAGCCACCUGGGCCAGGGAGAUGAGAGAUGCCAGGGAGGCAGAACCUGUCUUCCCUCUGGUCUCCGGAGCUCGAGAGAGAGAGAGAGACAGCAGAGACCAGUAAGUAAGGGGGAGUCCAGCUCAGCACUGCCACUGAGUGACCUGGGUGCCCGCGGAGGGAAGGAGAAACCGAAGACUUAAAGCUUCCACCUCAGGACCUGCCCAGAGCGGCUCAGCUGCUUCUGCUUCCUCCCUCGGGCCUAGGCCAGCACUGGCUGGCCUGGCUCUGCCUGCAGCCAGCCCUAAGGCAGCUGGGCCACUUGUACCCUGUUCGGGGAGAUGAAAGGGCUGCUCCCCACACAGUUACCCUUCUGCAGAGCUUGCCAGGCCCUGGGGUUGCCAAGACAACUGCUGCCAGCAGAAUGGAGAUCCGGGGUGGGGGCAGGGGGCGUGCCAGCCCGCCCCUGGCCUACUAACCUGGCAGGCAGAUUUAAAUGACAGCCCAGGAAGCUACUAUUAAACUGUCACCCCAGUCAACAGGACGACAGACUAAGAGUGUUCUCUGGCUGAAGCCACAACACAGCGGGAGCGCGAGGGGGAGGAGACAGUGGCCUGGAGCAGCCUGUACCCCCUUCCAGGAGGCCCCGGCCUGCAGGCUUGUCCACCCACUGCCAGAAACACCCUCGCGGGCUAGGGUGGCUCCUGGCACGGAGCUGCCACACCACACAGCGCAGGGCCUGGCAAGUGUUACUCUUCACACUUGAGCAGAGAAACCCUUUUCCCAAGUGAAACCCCAACACAGAAAAUAGGUAAAAAUGGAGCUGCGGGGUGGAAACGGCAAAACGUGGGGAAUCCUGUCCCCUGUUUCCCCUCAACAGUCCCGCAGGAACCUUCAGGAAAUGCUGGGACUUGGGAGCUACUGUGUGGUUCAGCAGCUCUGGGUUCAGAUCCUUACCCCUCCUCAGGCCUGCGACGUUCCCGUGAGCCCCGAGUUUAAAGAUCCCAUGGGCCUGACAUUUCAAACAGCUUCCCUGUGUCUCGGGCACUAACUCUCUCAGGAUUCCUAGUUUUAGGGCCUCAGCCUGACUUGCACACCCUAAGCUCCUAGGACUCUAACGGUCACUGCCAGUCAGAGGCGUCAGGAAACAGUGGACGGCAUUGACUGCGCCCCUGUUUCCCUGGGUCCAGGCAGCCACACUCUGACAACCCACAGCUCCAGGCUCUCGGGGGUACUGCAGACUCCCUGGAGUCCUAACACAAUCAAGAGUGGCAUGUAGGCUCAAGCCCUUGGCUCCGUGCUGCCUAGCUGGCCGCAGGACUCAGGCCACCACUAUCCAUCAGCAGGUGACAUUCAAGACAUGAGUCCUUUUUCCUCCCACCUGGGGAGAAUGAGGAAGACUCCACAGUUGCUGAGGAGGCCAGAGAUAAGUGGAGAGAUCCUCUCAUGGUGGGGAUCACUUAUGUGACGUCCUCUUUGCUGUUAAGUUGGGAAAAGUUUCCCCUCUCCUGCCCAGUUCACUACAGAUUACACAUUCUACCCAGGGCACAUCAGGAGUCAAACAAAAUGUCCCCAAACACGGAGGCAACAAAAUGAGGGAGGGAGGGGCCAGGAGGCCAGAGAGGGACCAUGUGGGAGACACCUGCAAGGACACCCUCAUGGGGGGUAGGGGUGGAACUGGGCCUGGAGUGCCAAGAUUGCCUAGUGACCUGUGGCUGUGGCAGACAUCACCAAUGUUACUCCCUGAGGAUUCGGGACCACUGUCUCCCAGUAAAGAGAUGGGUCUUCCUGCCAUCCUCUUAGAGGAAGGUACCAUCACCAGGGGAUAGAUGAGAGUCCCAGAGAGAGACUUGAACAAAACAUCACUCAGCAGGGUCUGAGCCUAGACAUGAGCCCAUACCUCUCUCUCUGACCCAGGCUCUUUCCUCAGUGUGCUCAGCCUAGGAACUCCCUCAGAGAAUCUCUAGCCCCACAUCCCUCACUAGCAAGGUGGACUCUUCUACUCUGGGUCUUAGUUUCCUCAUCAGAAUCAACUUUUAAAGACUCUGUGACUUAAGAUUUUCUGUGCUCCAAGGCUCUCCAAAAGGGUCACCCAGGGCUUCCCUCCCUUCAGAUCCAGUACAUCCCAGUUGCUCUCGCACACUUGGUCUGGCUGUCACCAGGGAGGUCCAAGCUCUCUCUAGGGUAUGUGGGACUCCCAGUCGCCACAGGAAAGAUGAGCAGCUCUGAGGGUAGACAACAAAGGCAUCUUCUUGUCCCAGUGAUUUGUAGAAGCAGGCAGUAUUGAGCCAGUGACAGCUGGGGGUGGGGGAGGGGUACGCAGGAGAGCAGUGGAUAGGAUGGGAUCAGCAGGGGUCUUGGGCUGGUGCCUGCCAAGGCCCCAAACCCAAUGUCUGCAUGGUGCUUGGAGACACAGGUGUACACCUCAGGAACACCAUCUCCUAAGGAGCAGAUCAGCCCCAUCCUGGAAUGUGGACUGCCCGCUUGGCACUAGGAUUCUAGGUCCCAGGGAAACAGCUAGAAGAAAACUCUAGGCAUCCUCAAAGUAGAAGCUUCCAGAGAGCAGGAGGCAAGGUUGGGAAAUCCUUUUAGACCAGGGAUUCUAGCCCAGGGUCCUGCCUGGCUCCAGCUUCACAAUCCCCAAUGGGGCAGAGGAUACCUGAUUUGCCUUAGCCUCCUCUAACCAGGAACCUUCCUACCUAAGCCCAGAUAAGCCACCUGAAGCCUCUAAGAGGUCUGUGGUUCUGCCUGUGUGCAUGCGCUUGCGCUUGCGCUUGCGCUUGCGCUUGCGCUUGCGCUUGCGCGCGCGCACACACACACACACACACACACACACACACACACACACACACACACACACACUGUUCAGGCCUGCCAAGGUCCCUUGCAUUUGGGUACUUGUUCUUCCUGCCCUAGGCCUCCUGGUGGGGGGAGGGGCAGCUCCCCUGCAGUUCCGAGGCUCUAGACUGCAUUCUAGUCUUACUCUGCCAACAUGCUGAGGGACCCUUGAGCAGGCUUCUUUAGGCCCAAGGCCCUACCAGCUGCCAGUGGAAAGCCCAGCGUUCCCAGAGCAGAACUUGGCAGCCAGUGUCACGGAAGCCAGGCUCCAGGAGCCCAAGGAUCCCCGGUGCAAAGGAGUACAGGAUGGAGUGGCUAACCUCUCCCGCAGGAGGUCACCCCUAGGCAGUGGCUGCUCGUGCUGGGAAGAGCCAUUGGCUGAGUAGAAGAUACAUGCUUCACCCAUUAGCCCAGGAGCUGGAAGCAUCCCUGUGAGCCCAGGGGCUCAUUCAACAGCAACAUGUGUUCCUGGGAAAUCUGCUUCCUGCUGCUGGGCCUGCUGCCUCUGUGAGUGGACCUCGGUGCUGGGCUCUCACUUCUUGCUAGCACGUCUAGAGCAGGCAGGACCCAGGAGCCUGUCACCCCCAGAUCACACUCGCCAUCUAAGGGGUCUCUCUGUUUAAGGUAUGGCUCUGAGAAACUGGGGGGCCCUGUGGUAGGGAUGCUACUGGCUGAGAGAGAGAGAGAGAGUUAGUUCAUGCCACUAGGGAUGUGUGGAGGUCUGAGGACAAUUGACAGGAGCCAGUUCUCUCCAUGUACCAUAUGGGUCCUGGGGUUUGAACUCAGAUCAUUAGGCCUGAUGGCAAGUACCCUUUCUGACUGAAUCUUCUUGCUGGCCCCUACUGGCUCCACACAAACUAUUCCAUUAAAAAAGAAAGAGAGGAAGAAAGAAAGAGAGGAAGAAAGGAAGGAAGGAAGGAAGGAAGGAAGGAAGGAAGGAAGGAAGGAAGGAAGGAAGGAAGGAAGGAAGGAAGAAAGACUACUAAACACAUUCCAUGAAGCCAGCAUUACCCUGAUACCAAAGCCAGCCUCAGCAGUUGGGAUAGGCCAGCUCCAAGGAAUGCGGUGGAAGACCUGCCAUGCAGUGACACACAGCUAUCAAUCUGUCAGCACCAGACAGAGAGCCGCUGCACAGCUUCCACGCUGGAAAGACGAAGGACCUCUCCCAGCCAGGACCAGCCUGGCAACAGCAGCAGAGGACACUCACCUCCCCUCUCUGGACCAGCUUUAGGACACGGAGCCAGGCAGUCUCCAAAGUCCCCUUUCUGCAGACAAGCGCAGUAUCGGAGAGGAAGGAGCAGGAGAGGAAAGGCCGCCCGCCCGAAAAGGAAGACUUUGGAUACACCUCUGAGAAAGGGGUGGCCUGGGUUAGGACAGACCUCUCACUGAGGUCCCACAUACACGUUGGCAAAUCGCA